UGUUGGGGUAACGGCCCAACAAGCCUUUGAUCGGUACGGGUUGUGGGAGCAAGAGCCCGGAGAUGGAUUCUGAGACAUGAAUCCAGGCCCUACGGGGCGCAGCAGGCGCGAAAACUUUACAAUGCGAGCAAUCGUGAUAAGGAAACCCUGAGUGCCUGUCAAUGCAGGCUGUUCUGGUGUCUAACACACACCAGGAGAAAGGGCGGGGCAAGACCGGUGCCAGCCGCCGCGGUAAUACCGGCUGCUCGAGUGAUAGCCACUUUUACUGGGCUUAAAGCGUUCGUAGCUUGGUCGUUAAGUCUCUGGGGAAAUCUUUUGGCUCAACCAAAAGGCGUCUCAGGGAAACUGACGAUCUUGGAACCGGGAGAGGUAGGACGUACUUCGGGGGUAGGAGUGAAAUCUUGUAAUCCCCGAGGGACGACCGAUGGCGAAGGCAUCUUACCAGAACGGCUUCGACAGUGAGGGACGAAAGCUGGGGGAGCAAACCGGAUUAGAU
rnacentral:rRNA from 1 species